AAAGAAAUAUAUAAAAAAAAGCUUCUAACUUUUAAACAAGCAUUAAGAUGUUUAU
rnacentral:tRNA from 4 species